rnacentral:rRNA from 1 species
AAUUUGCAGAGGGCGCUUUGGCUUUGGCAGCGGUCCAAGUUCCUUGGAACAGGACGUCACAGAGGGUGAGAAUCCCGUACGUGGUCGCUAGCUAUUGCCGUGUAAAGCCCCUUCGACGAGUCGAGUUGUUUGGGAAUGCAGCUCUAAAUGGGAGGUAAAUUUCUUCUAAAGCUAAAUAUUGGCCAGAGACCGAUAGCGCACAAGUAGAGUGAUCGAAAGAUGAAAAGCACUUUGGAAAGAGAGUCAAACAGCACGUGAAAUUGUUGAAAGGGAAGCGCUUGCAGCCAGACUUGCUUGCAGUUGCUCAUCCGGGCUUUUGCCCGGUGCACUCUUCUGUAGGCAGGCCAGCAUCAGUUUGGGCGGUGGGAUAAAGGUCUCUGUCACGUACCUUCCUUCGGGUUGGCCUUAUAGGGGAGACGCCAUACCACCAGCCUGGACUGAGGUCCGCGCAUCUGCUAGGAUGCUGGCGUAAUGGCUGUAAGCGGCCCGUCUUGAAACACGGACCAAGGAGUCUAACAUCUAUGCGAGUGUUUGGGUGUCAAGCCCGAACGCGUAAUGAAAGUGAACGGAGGUGGGAACCCGCAAGGGUGCACCAUCGACCGAUCCUGAAGUUUACGGAAGGAUUUGAGUAAGAGCAUGGCUGUUGGGACCCGAAAGAUGGUGAACUAUGCUUGAAUAGGGUGAAGCCAGAGGAAACUCUGGUGGAGGCUCGCAGCGGUUCUGACGUGCAAAUCGAUCGUCAAAUUUGGGCAUAGGGGGCGAAAGACUAAUCGA